GAAUUUCCGCGGGGGCGUCAAAGCUUACCAAAGAAUAUCAAACUCCGAAUGCCAUUAAGAUGAUGAACGGGAGUCAGACUGUACGAGAUAAGUUGGACAGUCAAAAGGGAAAGAGCCCAGACCACCAGCUAAGGUCCCAAAGUGUGUGUUAAGUGGAAAAGGAUGUGGGGAUUCAAAGACAACUAGGAUGUUGGCUCAGAAGCAGCCAUUCAUUCAAAGAGUGCGUAACAGCUCACUAGUCGAGAGUCCCUGCGCCGAAAAUGUCCGGGGCUGAAACACAACACCGAAGCUGUGGAAUCAUACCUAGUAUGAUUGGUAGAGGAGCAUUCUUAAGACCGACGAAGCUGUACCGAUAAGGAGCAGUGGAGGGAUAAGAAGAGAGAAUGCCGGAAUGAGUAGCGAGAGGAAGGUGAGAAUCCUUCCGGCCGAAUAUCCAAGGAUUCCAGGGUAAAGCUGAUCUGCCCUGGGUAAGUCGGGACCUAAGGCGAGGCCGAAAGGCGUAGUCGAUGGACAACAGGUAGAGAUUCCUGUACCCGUAUAUAUGUGAAGGAAUGACGGAGAGAGGAAGCUGCAGCCAGCGGCUGGAAGAGCUGGUGCAAGCGAGAUAUCGGGAUGGCAGGCAAAUCCACCAUCCGAAACGAGAAGGCGUGAAGCGUACGGAAAGCUACGGCGAGUACGGAAGGCAGUGGAGGAACUUCCAAGAAAAGUUUCUAACGUUAAGUAUAUAUGGCCCGUACCGAAAAUGGACACACAUGGGUGAGGAGAGAAUCCUAAGGUGAGCGAGAGAACUAUUGUUAAGGAACUCGGCAAAAUAACCCCGUAACUUCGGAAGAAGGGGUGCUCUCUAGGGUGACAUGUUUAACAUAUGAAGCCCCGGGGAGCCGCAGUGAAUUGGUGGUGGCGACUGUUUACUAAAAACAUAGGUCUGUGCCAAGUCGUAUAGACGACGUAUACGGACUGACGCCUGCCCGGUGCUGGAAGGUUAAAAGGAGGAGUCAGCGCAAGCGAAGCUCCGAAUUGAAGCCCCAGUAAACGGCGGCCGUAACUAUAACGGUCCUAAGGUAGCGAAAUUCCUUGUCGGGU
rnacentral:rRNA from 1 species